rnacentral:rRNA from 1 species
AUUGAACGCUGGCGGCAUGCCUUACACAUGCAAGUCGAACGGCAGCAUGGAGAGCUUGCUCUCUGAUGGCGAGUGGCGAACGGGUGAGUAAUGCAUCGGAACGUACCGUGUAAUGGGGGAUAACGUAGCGAAAGUUACGCUAAUACCGCAUACGACCUGAGGGUGAAAGCAGGGGAUCGCAAGACCUUGCGUUAUACGAGCGGCCGAUGUCAGAUUAGCUAGUUGGUGAGGUAAGGGCUCACCAAGGCGACGAUCUGUAGCGGGUCUGAGAGGAGGAUCCGCCACACUGGGACUGAGACACGGCCCAGACUCCUACGGGAGGCAGCAGUGGGGAAUUUUGGACAAUGGGGGCAACCCUGAGCCAGCCAUGCCGCGUGAGUGAAGAAGGCGUUCGGGUUGUAAAACUCUGUUGUUAGGGAAGAACAAGUGCUAGUUGAAUAAGCUGGCACCUUGACGGUACCUAACCAGAAAGCCACGGCUAACUACGUGCCAGCCGCCGCGGUAA